AGAGUUUGAUCCUGGCUCAGGACGAACGCUGGCGGCGUGCUUUACACAUGCAAGUCGAGCGAUGAGAUCCCUUCGGGGAAGGAUUAGCGGCGAACGGGUGAGGAACACGUGAGGAAUCUGCCUUCAACACUGGGAUAACUCCGGGAAACCGGGGCUAAUACCGGAUACGAGACCUGCAGGCAUCUGUGGGUCUGGAAAGUUUUUCGGUUGAAGAUGACCUCGCGGCCUAUCAGCUUGUUGGUGAGGUAAUGGCUCACCAAGGCGACGACGGGUAGCCGGCCUGAGAGGGCGACCGGCCACACUGGGACUGAGACACGGCCCAGACUCCUACGGGAGGCAGCAGUGGGGAAUAUUGGGCAAUGGAGGGAACUCUGACCCAGCGACGCCGCGUGCGGGAUGAAGGCCUUCGGGUUGUAAACCGCUUUCAGCAAGGAAGAAGCGAAAGUGACGGUACUUGCAGAAGAAGCACCGGCUAACUAUGUGCCAGCAGCCGCGGUAAUACAUAGGGUGCAAGCGUUGUCCGGAAUUAUUGGGCGUAAAGAGCUCGUAGGUGGUUCGUCACGUCGGAUGUGAAAAUCUGGGGCUUAACCCCAGACCUGCAUUCGAUACGGGCGAGCUAGAGUGUGGUAGGGGAGACUGGAAUUCCUGGUGUAGCGGUGGAAUGCGCAGAUAUCAGGAGGAACACCAAUGGCGAAGGCAGGUCUCUGGGCCAUUACUGACACUGAGGAGCGAAAGCGUGGGGAGCGAACAGGAUUAGAUACCCUGGUAGUCCACGCCGUAAACGGUGGGCACUAGUUGUG
rnacentral:rRNA from 1 species